rnacentral:rRNA from 1 species
UACGUAGGGGGCUAGCGUUGUCCGGAUUUAUUGGGCGUAAAGAGCGUGUAGGCGGCCCGGUAAGUCCGCUGUAAAAGUCAAAGGCUCAACCUUUGAAUGUCAGUGGAUACUGCCGGGCUAGAGUCCGGAAGAGGCGAGUGGAACUCCUGGUGUAGCGGUGAAAUGUGUAGAGAUCGGGAGGAACACCGGUGGCGAAGGCGGGUCUCUGGGCAAUUCCUGACGCUGAGGCGCGAAAGCGUGGGGAGCAAACGGG